ACGGGAGGCAGCAGUGAGGAAUAUUGGGCAAUGGGCGCAAGCCUGACCCAGCGACGCCGCGUGUGGGAUGACAGGGCUCUGCCUUGUAAACCACUGUCGGGUGGGACGAAAAGCGAGCUUCGGUUCGCCGGGACGGUACCACCAGAGGAAGGGUCGGCUAACUACGUGCCAGCAGCCGCGGUAAUACGUAGGACCCAAGCGUUAUCCGGAUUCACUGGGUGUAAAGGGUGUGUAGGCGGGCGUGCGCGUCUGGGGUGAAAGGUUCCGGCUCAACCGGAAACAUGCCUUGGAUACGGCACGUCUUGGGUGCGGGAGAGGACGGUGGAAUUCCUGGUGUAGCGGUGAAAUGCGUAGAUAUCAGGAGGAACACCAGUGGCGAAGGCGGCCGUCUGGCCCGCAACCGACGCUGAAACACGAAAGCGUGGGGAUCAAACAGGAUUAGAUACCCUGGUAGUCCACGCCCUAAACGAUGCAUGCUUGGUGUCGGCGCCUUGAGCGUCGGUGCCGUAGGUAACCCGGUAAGCAUGCCACCUGGGAAGUACG
rnacentral:rRNA from 1 species